CCAAGGAGUCUAACAUGUGCGCAAGUCGUAGGGUCAGCUCGCAGAGCUAAACCCGAAGGCGAAAUGAAAGUGAAGGAAACCGGGACUUCAAAUUCUUCGGAGUUUGUUUUAGUCCACGGACCGAGGCGGGAUCCCGCGCUCGGCUUCGUAAACCGAGUGAUAAUCCGGGUCGGCUCGUUUUUUUUCCUUUCCGAAAGGGGGGAGAGAAAAACCCGGGGGCGCACCGCCGGCCCGUCUCGAUCGCAUAGGGCGGUGGGGUUGCAACCCAACCGGUCGAGGGGAAUUUAUUUCUCUCUUCCGGGAGGGGGAACGGCCUCCCGUCCGACCUAGUCGAUGAGGCGGAGCGAGAGCGCACACGUUGGGACCCGAAAGAUGGUGAACUAUGCCCGGGCAGGACGAAGCCAGAGGAAACUCUGGUGGAGGUCCGCAGCGAUUCUGACGUGCAAAUCGAUCGUCGGACCUGGGUAUAGGGGCGAAAGACUAAUCGAACCGUCUAGUAGCUGGUUCCCUCCGAAGUUUCCCUCAGGAUAGCUGGCGCUCGGGAAAAAGCAAGUCUCAUCCGGUAAAGCGAAUGAUUAGAGGCCUUGGGGCCGAAACGACCUCAACCUAUUCUCAAACUUUCAAUGGGUGAGAUGUCCGGCUUGCUCAAUUUGAAGCCCGGACAUCGGAUGCGAGUGCCCAGUGGGCCACUUUUGGUAAGCAGAACUGGCGCUGUGGGAUGAACCAAACGCCGGGUUACGGCGCCCGAUGCAGACGCUCAUCAGACCCCAUGAAAGGUGUUGGUUGCUAUUGACAGCAGGACGGUGGCCAUGGAAGUCGGAANNNNNNNNNNNNNNNNNNNNNNNNNUUCCAUGUGAACAGCAGUUGAACAUGGGUCAGUCGGCCCUAAGGAAUAGGGGAAACCCGUUCCGAAAAAACCGGGAAUUUGUAAAAAAAUGAAUGUAUUAAAAAAUACCCGAAUCGAUCGAAAGGGAAUCGGGUUAAUAUUCCCGAACCCGGACGCGGAGAUUGGCCCUCGCGGGUCAGAAGCGGUAACGCAUAACGAACUCGGAGAUCUUGUCGGCGGGGGUCCCGGAAAGAGUUUUCUUUUCUUUGUAAGGGACGGACUCCCUGGAAUCGGCUCGCCCGGAGAGAGGGACGUUGUUCCCGUAAAGCACCGCGGCUCUUGCGGUGUCCGGAGCGCUCCCGCCGGCCCUUGAAAAUCCGAGGGAGUGUAACUAAAUUUCCGCACCGGACCGUACCCAUAUCCGCAGCAGGUCUCCAAGGUGAACAGCCUCUAGUCGAUAGAACA
rnacentral:rRNA from 1 species